ACAUCCAGAGAACUUAGCAGAGAUGCUUGGUGCCUUCGGGAACUCUGAGACAGGUGCUGCAUGGCUGUCGUCAGCUCGUGUUGUGAAAUGUUGGGUUAAGUCCCGCAACGAGCGCAACCCUUAUCCUUUGUUGCCAGCGAUUCGGUCGGGAACUCAAAGGAGACUGCCGGUGAUAAACCGGAGGAAGGUGGGGAUGACGUCAAGUCAUCAUGGCCCUUACGGCCAGGGCUACACACGUGCUACAAUGGCGCAUACAAAGAGAAGCGACCUCGCGAGAGCAAGCGGACCUCAUAAAGUGCGUCGUAGUCCGGAUUGGAGUCUGCAACUCGACUCCAUGAAGUCGGAAUCGCUAGUAAUCGUAGAUCAGAAUGCUACGGUGAAUACGUUCCCGGGCCUUGUACACACCGCCCGUCACACCAUGGGAGUGGGUUGCAAAAGAAGUAGGUAGCUUAACCUUCGGGAGGGCGCUUACCACUUUGUGAUUCAUGACUGGGGUGAAGUCGUAACAAGGUAAGCGUACGUGU
rnacentral:rRNA from 1 species